rnacentral:rRNA from 1 species
CCUACGGGAGGCAGCAGUGAGGAAUAUUGGUCAAUGGGCGCGAGCCUGAACCAGCCAAGUAGCGUGAAGGAUGACUGCCCUACGGGUUGUAAACUUCUUUUAUAAGGGAGUAAAGUGAGGCACGUGUGCCAUUUUGUAUGUACUUUAUGAGUAAGGAUCGGCUAACUACGGUCCAGCAGCCGCGGUAAUACGGAGGAUCCGAGCGUUAUCCGGAUUUAUUGGGUUUAAAGGGAGCGUAGAUGGGUUGUUAAGUCAGUUGUGAAAGUUUGCGGCUCAACCGUAAAAUUGCAAUUGAUACUGGCAGGCUUGAGUACAGUUGAGGUAGGCGGAAUUCGUGGUGUAGCGGUGAAAUGCUUAGAUAUCACGAAGAACUCCGAUUGCGAAGGCAGCUUACUAAACUGCCACUGACAUUGAUGCUCGAAAGUGUGGGUAUCAAACAGGAUUAGAUACCCCAGUAGUC